UACGUAGGCAGCGAGCGUUGUUCGGAAUUACUGGGCGUAAAGAGUGUGUAGGCGGUGUUCCCAGUCUGUUGUGAAAUCUCCCGGCUUAACUGGGAGGGUGCAACGGAAACUAGAAUGCUAGAGGGUGGGAGAGGUAAGCGGAAUUCCUGGUGUAGCGGUGAAAUGCGUAGAUAUCAGGAGGAACACCUGUGGUGUAGACAGCUUACUGGACCACUUCUGACGCUGAGACACGAAAGCGUGGGUAGCAAACAGG
rnacentral:rRNA from 1 species